CCCAUCCUCCGGGUGAGGAAAAGCAGGUGGUGCAGGGUUUCAGCAGGAAACCCGAAGGCGGGACAUGACGACGUGCACAGCGGUAAGGGAGAACGUGAACCAGAAGGACAGAGACAAGUGGACCCAAACCUUUGUAUGUCGAAUCCGCAUGCGUGGUCCCAGGAUGUCUAUGUGAUUCUAAAUACCACUCUCAGCUCACAAGAACAAAAUCAGCUGUGGCAGGCAGCUCAAGACGAAGCUGGUCACAGACAUAAGUUCUGAGACAGGUAAACCUACACAAGGUGGAGCUGCCUGGCCUCCCCAUGGACCAUGCUCAAAUGCAGCAGAAGACAUUGGACAACAAAAUGCCCCAUCCUGGCAUUCUUUGAGACCUUACACCAGGGCUGCUGGACUGUCCUAGCCACCAAAGAGUGGUCUAACAUACGUGCAUUCACCAGUGAAGUUGUCCUGGCAAAACACGUGGCACCAGCGUCUACAUGGGCAUCAACCUUCAUCCUGUCGACUCCCCUAGGCUCCAGUACAGUGCCCUCUGCCAGCAGGAAGUAGUUAGAGAAAUCUUUGCCCUUUUUCAUAAUAAUAAUCAUAAGAUGGGAUAUGAAAGGAUUUUGGCCCAGACAGGACACUGUAGCCAAGAAAGCAGGAAACCAGAAGCAGGAAGCUCCUAUCUCCCCCACCCCUAGGAAGUUAUCUGUGACGCCAUCUUCCUGCCCCUGGGAAUUUACAUGUGGCGCAAAACCUAGGACCAAUGGAUUACCUGUGGAUCCCUAAUGCCCACCUUAGGUUCCACCCCAAACUGAGGCUACUUACAUACCCCCAUGCCACGUGUCCGCCAGAGAGAUUGCUGGUCGCCAGCGGUGGGGGGUGCCGGUCAUCUCUCUCCGUGUUCUCAGAAUAAAGGCCGCUUUUUAUUUUAUAC
rnacentral:lncRNA from 1 species